rnacentral:rRNA from 1 species
AACGAAAGCUGGCGGCAGGCCUAACACAUGCAAGUCGAACGACGUCUUCAGACUUAGUGGCGGACGGGUGAGUAACACGUUGGAACGUACCUUUUGGUUCGGAACAACUCAGUGACACUUGAGCUCAUACCGGAUGCGCCCUUAGGGGGACGGAUUUAUCGCCGAAAGAGCGGCCCGCGUUAGAUUAGCUAGUUGGUGAGGUAAAGGCUCACCAAGGCUACGCUCUAUAGCUGGUCGGAGAGGAUGAUCAGCCACACUGGGACUGAGACACGGCCCAGACUCCGACGGGAGGCAGCAGUGGGGAAUCUUGAGCAAUGGGCGAAAGCCUGACGCAGCCAGGCCGCGUGAAUGAUGAAGGUCUUAGGAUUGUAAAAUUCUUUUACCAGGGACGAUAAUGACGGUACCUGGAGAAAAAGCCCCGGCUAACUUCGUGCCAGCCGCCGCCGUAAAAC